rnacentral:lncRNA from 1 species
UUUGUUGAAAAAAUUCUUUUAACGUCGGAUAGUGAAUAUUGGUGAAUUGAUGGGUAGACAAAGAUCCCAUAAUAGAAAAACAAGCGAAUGCGUCGAACUUUUCUGAUGAAAAGGUUAGAGCACUGUCUUUGCAAAUGAACAUAACAUUCUGCAAUGGUCAUACUACAUGCUGAUCUAAUAGAGUAAUAAAUCUACUGAAAUGUUCCAGCUUAACUGGAAGCGCAGAACAACUCCCAUAUUUUCCAGGAGAUGGUUCAUCAGCAAACUACAACAAGGCCAAACUUCUCAAGUUUAUCCCCAAAACGUGACCAACUCUACAAACACCGAGAGACCUCCAGAUUUUCCACAAAACGAGAGUUGAGCAAACUACUGCCAUCAGCUUCAGAAAUCACUAGAGCAAGUACAUUUGUUAGUUCUAGGCAACCUGAAAAAUAAAAUAAGAAAAGUUAGUGAACAGCAACGAGAUGGAUUUCUCAACAAGAGGUGAUAUAGAAAAAACAAGACGACCUGUGUAAACAGCAGUCAGUACCACCAUAGUAUUUGGAAUAUGCGCAACAUAUUUAUUUCUAGUAUAUCUUGAUUGAAGAAGAAAAUUACGUGGUGAUCAAUUCUUAACAGAAUAACGUUUGAAUUUCAGGCUGACCAGUGACAAUAUUUCAGGAAAACGAAUACUAUAGUCAUAAUGAUGACACUGCAAAGUGUAUGUCAGGCUCUUGUACACUAUAUAAGGUCUUGCCUAAUUUGUAGUUUUUGUACUGCUAGUUCAGAAAUUCUAAUACACUUGGAUGAAAGGUCCAGCUAAAAUAAACAUUGAUCAAUAAUUUUCAGCAGCACCAUCAAUACAGGUUGUUGAUAUAAGGCACUGUUGUGAAAUGAAUAUUUUUUAACAGGUCAAAGAAUAUGGCAUUGUCACUGAAAUCUAAUUCUGUAACUUAGUUCAGUAUUUUUUUACAUUUUUUUAUCCAAGUCAAACUGCAUGGGUUGAAUGAGAGAUAUAUGUUUUUUUUUCCGAAACGGAGGCCAAAGAUUGACCUCAUCAAUUAAUUAAGAGGAGAAUAGAGUUUGAUUGUUUACAACUCACGAUAACACGCCACCUGGCAACUACUCACGAAUGUAUGUUAGAAGAAUACAACAUCCCAAGAAUGCGAAUGUAUGUAAUAUGAAUGGGUCAAUAAAGAAGCUUUAGCCAUACAUAUUACAUACAUUGGCUGGUAACUUAGUAGUUAGUACCUUCAUUUCUUGCAUCUGUCUACACGAACCAGAGUAUCCGCUAUAGUUUUCCGCUUGCCUGGAAAAAAAGUUCAUUGGUCAAGGUACUAGAAUUUGAAUGAUACAUACCACAAUAGGAC